rnacentral:rRNA from 1 species
CCUACGGGUGGCAGCAGUAGGGAAUCUUCCACAAUGGGCGAAAGCCUGAUGGAGCAACGCCGCGUGGAUGAAGAAGGUCUUCGGAUCGUAAAACCCUGUUGUUAGAGAAGAAAGUUCGUGAGAGUAACUGUUCACGUUUCGACGGUAUCUAACCAGAAAGCCACGGCUAACUACGUGCCAGCAGCCGCGGUAAUACGUAGGUGGCAAGCGUUAUCCGGAUUUAUUGGGCGUAAAGGGAACGCAGGCGGUCUUUUAAGUCUGAUGUGAAAUCCUUCGGCGUAACCGGAGGAGUGCAUUUGAAACUGGCAGACUUGAGUGCAGUAGAGGAGGGUGGAAUUCCAGGUGUAGCGGUGAAAUGCGUAGAUAUAUGGAAGAACACCAGUGGCGAAGGCGGCUCUCUGGUCUGUAACUGACGCUGAGGUUCGAAAGCGUGGGUAGCAAACAGGAUUAGAUACCCCGGUAGUC